UUAAUAGGGGCAAGGUUCCAUGGCCCUUCUAGCCAAGGUGAAGAAUUACAUUUUCUUUUAUUGUGGUCACCUUUCCAUUGAUUCAUAUAGGUGGUAUUUCUUAGCGGAUGGAUCUUCACAUCAAAUGUAGAUGGCUUUCGAUCUCUUUGAAACGGGACAAUAUGGUAUGGGAUCAGUAAAAGAUGCAGUUACAUUUGGUAGGUUUGAAGUCCCUGUCCGUGCACUAACAGGUUUCGCACCAGUAGGAGCAGUGGAAUCAAAAUGGGGGCAGUGACGCGGUGCACAUGCCUCCAUUGCAGCAAGGUAUGUAAUUUUCACCCGCGCAACGAGAAACCAUGGAGAACAAAAUCGGGUUAAAACCAAAGAGGGAAUAGAGAGCUAAAGAAGCAUCCUUUGAAUCAUAAUUUUUUUUGAAAAAGCGUAUUGCCUUUUUCCUUAAAUAAAGUAGAGAUGUGAUGAGGAUUCAAAAGGAAAGAGGCUUCCGAAAGGACUUGAAUCUUUGC
rnacentral:lncRNA from 1 species